CCCUUUUGGGGGAUGAGUAGAGUGGCGUCCGGGUGAGUAACACGUAGGUAAUCUACCUUCGGGUGGGGAAUAACGCAGGGAAACUUGCGCUAAUACCGCAUAAUGCAGCGGCACCACAUGGUGACAGUUGUUAAAGCGGGGGAUUUUCGAACCUCGCGCCUGAAGAGGAGCCUGCGGCAGAUUAGCUAGUUGGUAGGGUAACGGCUUACCAAGGCGACGAUCUGUAGCCGGCCUGAGAGGGCGGUCGGCCACACUGACACUGACAUACGGGUCAGACUCCUACGGGGGGCAGCAGUCGGGAAUUUUGGGCAAUGGGCGAAAGCCUGACCCAGCAACGCCGCGUGAAGGAUGAAAUCCCUCGGGAUGUAAACUUCGCAAGAAUAGGAAGAAUUAGCGAGUACUAAUACUGCUCGUGAUGACGGUACUAUUUGUAAGCUCCGGCUAACUCCGUGCCAGCAGCCGCGGUAAUACGGGGGGAGCAAGCGUUGUUCGGAUUUACUGGGCGUAAAGGGCGCGUAGGCGGUCAGCACAAGUCAGUUGUGAAAUCUCCGGGCUUAACUCGGAAAGGUCAACUGAUACUGUGCGACUAGAGUGCAGAAGGGGCAACUGGAAUUCUCGGUGUAGCGGUGAAAUGCGUAGAUAUCGAGAGGAACACUGCGGCGAAGGCGGGUUGCUGGGCUGACACUGACGCUGAUGCGCGAAAGCCAGGGGAGCGAACGGGAUUAGAUACCCCGGUAGUCCUGGCCUUA
rnacentral:rRNA from 1 species